rnacentral:rRNA from 1 species
UAUUAAUUAAGUUUUGUUUUAGCUCUCAGUUAAGUUAAUUUAAAAGCUAUAUAAAUAGCCAAAAUUAAAAAACAUAUAAUUUAAUAGUUAGAAUUAAUAAACUGAGGAAACCCAGUAUUAGGACAAAUUAUAUAAAAUUAACAAAGUAUGUGCCAGCAGUUGCGGUUAUACAUACAAUUAUUUAACUUACAUUUUAAUAAAAUUAUAUUUAAUAAAAAGGCAAUUAGUGAAAAUUAAUAGGUAAAAUUUUAAAUAUUUAUUUUAAACGCCCAAAAGAUAAAGAUUAAAAAUCCCAGUAAAGUAAACUAGGAUUAGAUACCCUACUAUAUGAAAAAAAUAAAAACAAUAGAAUAGUAAAAGAUACAAACUUCAAAAUCAAAAAAUUUGGCGGUGCUUUAAUCUAAUUAGAGAAGUCUGUAAUAUAAUUGACACCCCACAAGUGAGCCCACUUUAAAUAAAAUAUACUUAUAUAUCGCUGUUAAUAUAAAAAUUAUAAAGUUAGUUUAUUAAAACAGACCAAUCAAUAAAUCAAGUCAAGAUAUAGUUUUAUAUAGAGAAAUAUAUGGACUACAUUUAUAUUAAAUAAAAUAGAAUUCAACCCAAAAGGAUGAAGAAAAAAGAAUUUAAAAGUAAAUAUUUUACACUAAAAUUUUAAAUUAGUAAUAAAGUAUGUACAAAUCGCCCGUCACUCUUAAAUAAAGCAAGAUAAGUCGUAACAAAGUAAGUUUACUGGAAAGUGAACUUAGAAAAAUAAAUAACUAAGGCAAGUUUAUCUCUUACAACGAUAAAAUGAUUAUAAAAAUCUUUAUUUAUAAGAAAGAAAAACAUAAUAUUAUAAAAAAAUAAAUAUAGUAAAUAAAAAGAAUUUAAAUAAUAAAAAAUCUAUAGUUAAUAAAAAAAGUAGUGAAAACAAAAGAAAAAAUUAAAAAAAAAGUUUACCUAUCUUGUCAUACCUUUUGUAUCAGGGUUAAUUAACUAAAUGGCAGAAGAAAUUUUCUCGAAAAAAAAAAGAAUUAU